AUCUCGGCUCACUGCAACCUCCACCUCCCAGGUUCAAGCGAUUCUCUUGCCUCAGCCUCCUGAGUAGCUGGGAUGCCUGGCUCGUACAACUUUGGACUCACAAUUUCAAUUCUAGGGAAUUGACCUAGAGAUAUAGUUGUACAAAAGGACUAUGGGCAAACACUACUGGAAAUAACAAAGCAACAAACUUAAUCUAAAUAUGUAUUGAUACAAAUCUGUUCAUUGUAUUAGGUCCAGCCAUGCAAUAAAGUUCUUGAAAGGAAUGAGAUAGCUAUUUUUGGUGCUGAAAAAGACCUCAGAAAACCUAUGAAGUGAAAAAACAAAGCCGAAGUAAUUAUAACUGGCAGAGGAAUAGACAGAGAUUUCUCAACAGUUGCAGUAUUGACAUUUUGGACAGGAUAAUUCUUUGUUUGCGGAUGAGAGCUCUUCUGAAUGCACUAUUAAGGGAGAAAUUCUGUAAAAAUAUAUAAAAGCAAAUACAUAAUGAAGAUUGAUAAACUGAAUGAUACUGAGGUGAAAAACCUAUGUUAAUCAAAAGAUCGCACCACUGCACUGCAGCCUGGGCAACAGAGCGAGACUCCAUCACUAAAAAUAAAGAAAGAAAGUGAAAUCUCAGUUUAUCAAGUAUGCCAACAGAUUAACAACAUUUCAAGACACUUUGUUGUAAACUUCAUUGCAGAAGGCUCCCUUGGGAGUAAGGUAGUAGUAACAUUUAUUUCUGUGCUUUUCCAUAUUAUUCUGUCAGGUAUUGAAAUGUUUUUCAACAAGUUGCUUUUUGUUUUAAAGGUAUUUCGGGUACUUGGAGAAUUGUAAAUAUUAUGUUUUGUACCCUUUUUAGUCAUAAGUUUCCAGAAGAGGGUAAGGGUAUGAAUAGACUUUACACAUGAAAGAGUGAAACACUUUGUUAUGUAACAUGUAUAGUAAGUUUUUUUAUUUUUUCCUUUGUUUUUAUUUGCCUGUUUUUGGUAAUCCAGAUUGAGAAGGCCUGAACUUUCAUGAGUUGAGUUCGUAUAUAGUUUCAAAGUUCCUGAAUUGAUUUGGAUACCUCCCUCUUUUUGACUACCUUGAAAACUCUAGUGAACUCUCUUAAUCACAGGAGAAUUGGACUGGGAUCUCUGAGUUGUGAUUUCAGUAAAUUCUGUUCUCUUUUAAUUUUUUAUGAAGCAGCAUUUAUAUACAGCCUUGAUUACUUGUGCAAGUCACUUCCAAAUUCUAAUGAGAAACUGUCUCUGGACUUUUAUAUUUUCUUAGAUCUACAGUGUAAAUACCAAGAAAGCAUUUCAUAUCUAAUGUAAGAAUGCACUGAAACUUUGAUAUUAUUCUGCAAAGGCCAUGAGAAAGAUGAUUACUUUGGAGACUUAUUACUUGGGAUGUUUGCUUUUAAAAUGAGAGCAGAUUCUUCCCAAACUCCAUAAGUAGGAACGUGACUAUAAGGAAAAUCUGUGAACCCCAUAUACCUACAAACUUUGGGUAGGAAUUAAAAUGUGUACUAUUCUUGAAAUGUUAACUCACUGUUACAUCUUGGGGGGUGUGAUUUUAAUCAGGAUAGAGUAUUGUCAGAUUGUUACUUGCUGGGACACAUCCAAAUUUUGAGGUUGUAGUCUUACUACAUUAUUUGUCUAUUUGAUGCCUUCCCCUUUUUUCUUUGAUACAUUUGCAUAAAGCACAAUGGCACUUUUUCACUAGAAAUGUUUCUAAAACCCAAAUCAUUUCUUCAUUUGUGUGUGGUAAAAACAAGCUUCAGGAAAAAAGUUAUUAGAAUUUUUAAAAAUAGUUAUAAAAUUAUAGCAAAGCUCAUGAAUAGUUACUGAAGAUUACUUUACUACUUUGUGAAUAGCAAGUUGACAAAAAUAAUUUACGGUUCCUGCUUGACUUUCUCUCCUCUAAGUGGCAUAAAGUAGAACUAGAGUUUUUUUGUUUUGGUUUUGACUCAACUUAGAAGAUUUGUUUUAAAGUUCUGAAGUUUUGUCCCAGGAAAAUAAGGUUGUUUUCCAUGUAGAGAAUGUAAAAUUACAUAUGGCAUCUGGUAGGCUGAAUUAAUUCCAUUUCCUUGUUACCUUCCAUGGAAGAAGUUUCCAAUAAAAAAAAUCUUUUCUGGGCAGGGCAUAGUGGUUCACGCCUAUAAUCCCAGCACUAUGGGAGGCCG